GUGGGGAAUAUUGGACAAUGGGCGCAAGCCUGAUCCAGCCAUGCCGCGUGAGUGAUGAAGGCCUUAGGGUUGUAAAGCUCUUUCAGUGGGGACGAUAAUGACGGUACCCACAGAAGAAGCCCCGGCUAACUUCGUGCCAGCAGCCGCGGUAAUACGAAGGGGGCUAGCGUUGUUCGGAUUUACUGGGCGUAAAGCGCACGUAGGCGGAUCGUUAAGUCGGGGGUGAAAUCCUGGAGCUCAACUCCAGAACUGCCUUCGAUACUGGCGAUCUUGAGUCCGGAAGAGGUGAGUGGAACUCCUAGUGUAGAGGUGGAAUUCGUAGAUAUUAGGAAGAACACCAGUGGCGAAGGCGGCUCACUGGUCCGGUACUGACGCUGAGGUGCGAAAGCGUGGGGAGCAAACAGGAUUAGAAACCCGGGUAGUCC
rnacentral:rRNA from 1 species